rnacentral:tRNA from 1 species
GGGGAGAUAGCUCAGUUGGUAGAGUGCUUGCCUCACAUAUAAGGCUCUGGGUUCAAUCCCCAGCACCACA